CCUACGGGUGGCAGCAGUGGGGAAUAUUGGGCAAUGGGCGCAAGCCUGACCCAGCAACGCCGCGUGAAGGAAGAAGGCCCUCGGGUUGUAAACUUCUUUUAUCAGGGACGAAACAAAUGACGGUACCUGAUGAAUAAGCCACGGCUAACUACGUGCCAGCAGCCGCGGUAAUACGUAGGUGGCAAGCGUUAUCCGGAUUUAUUGGGUGGAAAGGGCGUGUAGGCGGGAAAGCAAGUCAGAUGUGAAAACUCAGGGCUCAACCCUGAGCCUGCAUUUGAAACUGUUUUUCUUGAGUGCUGGAGAGGCAAUCGGAAUUCCGGGUGUAGCGGUGAAAUGCGUAGAUAUACGGAGGAACACCAGUGGCGAAGGCGGAUUGCUGGACAGUAACUGACGCUGAGGCGCGAAAGCGUGGGGAGCAAACAGGAUUAGAUACCCCUGUAGUC
rnacentral:rRNA from 1 species